rnacentral:miRNA from 1 species
CCUGGAAACACUGAGGUUGUG